GGCCAUACCAAUUUGAAAUACCAGUACCCAAAGUUAAGCAACAUUGAGCCUGGUCAGUACUGAGAUGGGUGACCACUUGGGAAUACCAGGUACUGUAGG